rnacentral:rRNA from 1 species
UACGAACUGUGCAAACGUUAUUCGGAAUCACUGGGCUUAAAGGGCGCGUAGGCGGGCGGUCAAGUCGGUGGUGAAAUUUUUCAGCUCAACUGGAAAAGUGCCUCCGAUACUGGCCGGCUCGAGGGAGGUAGGGGCAUGUGGAACUUCCGGUGGAGCGGUGAAAUGCGUAGAUAUCGGAAGGAACGCCGGUGGCGAAAGCGGCGUGCUGGACCUCUUCUGACGCUGAGGCGCGAAAGCUAGGGGAGCAAACAGG